rnacentral:tRNA from 1 species
GGGCCUGUAGCUCAGUGGUAGAGCACUACCCUUGCAAGGUAGGGGUCUCGGGUUCAAUCCCCGACAGGUCCA